UACGUAGGAUCCGAGCGUUGUCCGGAUUUACUGGGUGUAAAGGGUGCGCAGGCGGACUGGUAAGUCAGAGGUGAAAUCUCGUCGCUUAACGACGAAACUGCCUUUGAUACUAUCAGUCUUGAAUCCGGUAGAGAUCUGUGGAAUUCCGAGUGUAGCAGUGAAAUGUGUAGAUAUUCGGAAGAACACCAGUGGCGAAGACAGCAGAUUGGGCCGGUAUUGACGCUCAGGCACGAAAGCAUGGGGAUAAAACAGG
rnacentral:rRNA from 1 species